rnacentral:rRNA from 1 species
UAUUAGUUAUCUAUCUCUUGUGCACCUUUUGUAGUCUUUGGAGUGUUCGCAGUCAAUGCGGUUUUGGGGCUUGGGCUUUGNNNNUUCCCUGUUUGCUUCAAGGCUAUGUUUUUAUACACCCUAUUUGAAGUUACAGAAUGUCUCUGAUUGACUUUCGAGUCAGUAAAUCUAUACAACUUUCAGCAACGGAUCUCUUGGCUCUCCCAUCGAUGAAGAACGCAGCGAAAUGCGAUAAGUAAUGUGAAUUGCAGAAUUCAGUGAAUCAUCGAAUCUUUGAACGCACCUUGCGCCCUUUGGUAUUCCGAAGGGCAUGCCUGUUUGAGUGUCAUUAAAUUCUCAACCUUGCAAGCUUGCUUGCGAGGCUUGGAUGUGAGGGUUUUUGCUGGCUUCCUUCAGUUGGAUGGUCUGCUCCCUUUAAAUUCAUUAGUGGGAUCCUUUGUGGAUGGUCACUUGGUGUGAUAAUUAUCUACCGCCGCCUGACUCUGAAAUCAAGACU